rnacentral:ncRNA from 1 species
GAACGCGACUUUGUAAAAAACAACGAGUCAGCUUGAAUGCUAGUGUGGCGCGCGCCAUGCGACACUGUUAAAUUGCGGGGACCCCCUGAAGCUUUGUCCUACCAAGUGCUUGUGCGCGAAAGCGCCAGCAUGGCCGAGCCAAUCGCCCUGGGUAUGGUAACAACGGACAAGGAUGUUAUAUAUGGGUGAUCCGCAGCCAAGUCCUACGUCGAAUCGCGCAUGUUCGAUAUGGAACGGGUUCACAGACUAGAUAGCAGUGGGUGGCACACACACGUGUGUCGCUUAAGAUAUAGUCGGUCUCGUGCCGAAACGCACGG